UACAGAGGGGGCAAGCGUUGUUCGGAAUCACUGGGCGUAAAGGGCGUGUAGGCGGUCAAGUAAGUGGAAUGUGAAAUCCCCCGGCUUACCCGGGGACCGGCAUCCCAUACUGCUUGGCUUGAGUACGGGAGAGGAUGUGGGAAUUCCUGGUGUAGCGGUGAAAUGCGUAGAUAUCAGGAGGAACACCGGUGGCGAAGGCGGUUCUCUGGGCCUUACCUGACGCUGAGGAGCGAAAGCGUGGGGAGCGAACAGG
rnacentral:rRNA from 1 species